CCCACACCGGCCCUUUUCGGAUAAGAUUGGACACUCCUGGUCAGAACCAGCGGUUCCCAACCCUGUUCCUGGAGAUUUACUGUCCUGUGGGUUUUCACUCCAACCCCAGCAAAGCGCACCUCAUUCAACAGCUAGACAUCUUCUUGAGCUGCUAAUUAGUAGAAUCGGGUGUGCCAAAUUAGGGUUGAAAUGAGAUUUCCAGGAACAGGUUUGAGAACCACUGCUCUAAAUUCUGUCUGAAUCCGCAAUCUAACCUGGACGGGUUGUCACGGAAAUUGGCAUAGCAACUUCAUUGCCCAAUCAGCGAAGCUGGAGAAAAGUAGCAUGCCUAUUCAGCCUAAGUUUUAGGGCAUGAGCUGCACUUCGGGAAAUGGCUUCAAUCUCUGAAUCUUCCGCAGACAGAUUUGAUGUGAACUUCGGACAAGUUUUUUGACAUGCCACUGAAUAUGAGUCCUGACACCAUAUAUAAGACGGAUCAGCAACUCGCCGUCCUCGAGGGCCGAGAACUGCUGGUUUUUCCACCCUCCAUUUGCCUGGGAGUCAGGUGUGAAGACAGUCUGGCCAAUCAGAAGCACUAAUUACCCGGGAGAAAAGAAAACCAGGGCUGGAUUUGGAUUCGAGGGCCAGAGUUGAUGAUCCCUGCUGUAAGACUUGACUGUUCAGAAUGGAACAUUUGGCUUUGCCCCUCCCCUGAAACACAGAAGGAAUAGGAGGCAUUUUUUUUAGUAUUUACAAGCUUUGCCAAAAAGACAUUUGUCAUAGAAGCGAAAACACUUAACCAUUUGACGAGUAGGUUUUAUGGAAGGUUUUUUGUCAGUGUUCUAGAACUCCACUGCUUUCACUCACCAGUAGUGAUUGCGACAUCAGCAUUGGAAUGUUCAGUUAAGAUGAACAUUCUGUGAUCUUAGACCUUUCGUGGUUAAAAUCAAUCUUAAAAUGCACUUUUUUGUAGCCUGGCUUUUCAGCAGUUGUCCUAUGAUUCUUAUUGUGUAAUUUCUCUCGACUCUUUUAGUGAUGUUUUAUGGUUUUGUCGACCGGUCCUCUUGUCUCUGCACAACACCGACUCUUAGUUAAUGUACGUGCUAUUAUUUCAUCACUGUUAUUAUUAUCUUUCUGUGUGUCUGCAGACUUGUAAAGCACAGCAAUAUAUUAUAUGAAAGGUGCUAAGUGGGCAGUGUAUAACUUUUUCUUUUUUUAAAUCCUUUUUUUUAUGUACUUCAAAUCUGUGAAUAAAAUACACGCCCAGCUAGUCUGUGGGAACCUGAAAUCCA